UACGAAGGGGGCUAGCGUUGUUCGGAAUCACUGGGCGUAAAGGGCGCGUAGGCGGCCGAUCAAGUCGGGGGUGAAAGCCUGUGGCUCAACCACAGAAUUGCCUUCGAUACUGUAGAGCUUGAGACCGGAAGAGGUAAGUGGAACUGCGAGUGUAGAGGUGAAAUUCGUAGAUAUCGGGAGGAACACCAGUGGCGAAGGCGGCGAUCUGGGAACAUACUGACGCUGAGGUGCGAAAGCGUGGGGAGCAAACAGG
rnacentral:rRNA from 1 species